AAUUCCAGAUGUGUACAUGUGUCAAAUUUUAAAAUCUUUAAUAACUGAGUUAUGAUGUUGCAUCAUUUAAAUGUUUAUAGUAUCUUUUAAGCAGAUUUAUGAUCUAAUCAUUACUGGUAUGAUAUUGGGGAAGAAAAUUCUGAUGUACUUUUUUUCCCCGCAUUUUUUUUUUUAAAUUUUCAGUACGCAAGUUUGAUCUUCUUACAGAGACAUAAAUAACGUCUCUGUCUUCUGAAUAGCAAGUCCAAUAAAGGCAUACCUGUACAAUACUAGGAUUACUUUAUGUUAUUCAGUAUUAAAUCAGUCCUGGUAAUAAGAAAAACGAUACAUGUAUGAAUUGAUAAUUAUAUUCUUUUUUUUUAUUGUAUUGACUUCCAAAUAAUAAAUAAAAAUGACG
rnacentral:misc_RNA from 1 species